rnacentral:rRNA from 1 species
UAAGUAUAUAAAAAGAACGACUCUCGGCAACGGAUAUCUCGGCUCUCGCAUCGAUGAAGAACGUAGCGAAAUGCGAUACUUGGUGUGAAUUGCAGAAUCCCGAAGCCAUCAGGUCGAGGGCACGUCUGCCUGGGCGUCACAC